UUACAAAUUGGGUAUUACACCUCCCGUGUUAUCGGCCCAAGGAUUUCCCACAAAACAUGUAUAUUACAGUAUUCACAUUUGAUAUACACACACUUCGGAGAUAGAGCGGAAGACUUACAAAACAUUAUUUACAUUUCCAAAACUCAAGUUUUAUAUGCUAGAAAGAGUUAUAAUAUUUGCAAGUUCUGUUAGUCUUUGAAGUGCAUAACUUAAUUACAAUACUUGGAAAGGUGAAGCCUUUCCAUAAGAAAUACACAUAAGCAAACUAAGCUUGAAGACCUCCACAUGAAGCAACUAAUGAAGCCAAAGACAUCAAAACCUUUCCUGCAACAACAUAGGGAAUAAAACCCUGAGUAGGCAAUUACUCAGCAAGACUUACCCGACUAAGGAAAAGACUCUCAAGGGUAUGCUAGCUUUUGGGAAUCAAGGGAAAAGCUCAUUAAUUAUCAAAGGCUCCUUUUUGUAGAAAAGUAAGCUUACUAAGUAGAUCCUUAAGCCAAGUUUUACUUCACAGGUUAGGUUGUUACUUCAAUCUACUAACCUGAAUCUAGAUUUGCCUAAUCUAGAUCAUACACUUGGCCUACACUAGAUUGUUUUUAAUUAAAUCUUUGUUAUACUUGUUAACUACGAUGCAGAGCAGUGAUCCAGUCUUCAUAACCGAGAAGUAACGGCGAUCCGAAUCGAUUAAUACCCAGAUGGGGAUCUCCAACCACACGACAUAUGUAGCACUUAACCCUUGCAUAUGUCAACCAUUCCCACGGAUCCUCCACUACAUGAACUGGUCCACGCUACCCGGGAGCACAUUACCCUACCAUCCAGCCUCUUGCCAGGAGGAUAACUGCUACUCCCACCAUCUCCCACGCCCAGUGCGCGGUUGUCCUUUCACGUAUGGAAUAGACGGGUUCAGGCUUAUCCAUUACGAGGUGCAAGUCAACCACCCGACCUCAAGUGAUGACGGGUUCAGGCCAUGCCUAGAUAAUGAAUUUCUCACUGUAGAUGAUGCAUUCAUUAUCCCAAUCAAAUUUUCUUUUGGAAGUUAUGAGUCAUAGAUCAAAAAUAUUUUUCUAAUCUAUCCGCAUGAUUAAGCAUCUCUAGAUUUUAUAAAACAGAUGACAAGGUAUAGCAAUCAAUUCUUUCAAGGAAUGAUAAUGCAUCAAGUGUUUAAUCAAUCAACUCCUAUCACCUAAUGCAUCAUAUAACUGAUAAAAUUUUGUAAAUACAAGGAAGGUGGCAAAUGCACCGGGGCUUGCCUUUGUUGCAGAGAAGAUCCAAAAUCCUUCUACUAGAUAACCAGUUAGAUGGAACCACACCAAUGGGUAUUCAAGUACUGGAGCAAUUUCUCUUUGAUGUCCACUUCUUCAUGGAGCUCUACAUGAGAUAAUAUGGUUAUGAAUGAUUGUGCAAUGCCAUGAAAAUGCAACUUGCCUAGAGGGUAACAAAGAAUACAUCUAGAAUACACCUACAAGCUAUCAUCACAAGCUACAAGUCAUUAGAGAGCUAAUCCUUUUAAGAUUUCACCCAAACACCUCAAACUUAAUAAGCAACUUCAUCCCAUCACUAAGACACUAGAUGCCCUAAUUACCCAAGGAUGAAAUCCUUUCUUCUAUUUUGAGCAACAAUUAGUUUGCUAAGCAAACAUUGCCUAAACAGCUUCAAACUUUACCCAAGAGCUAAUAUGUCCAAGAUAAGCUUACAUAAUUUUCCUAUAAUUGUUAGUGCUCUAUUUUUAAACACACCUAGCACACAAUCUAAAUCUUUUCUUCUCCAAUCAUCACACACAAACACAGGAUAAGGACGAUGGCGCUAAUCAUAGCCUACCACAAUCACACAAGAACCAAUUCUUUUGGACUUUCUCUUGCAUUUACACAUAUAUCCGAACCGCACCUGCUCUAACACGCGACAAGCCGAUGAAGCGAGAGGAACACGUAAGGCCGCACGGAGAAAACACACCGAGCACGACAGCUUGUCGGGUGUGAGGACCUGCAGGAGAUGACGACACCAUUACUGCUAAGUACACAGCCGGUAAUUCCAAACAAAUAAAAAUUUAUGAUGAACCGACGAGGCAGACGGCUAGCGGCUUCACGACGAUUCCGCGAGUGCGAUGAGGUUAGAGCAGAGGUUGUGGGUUGUCGAAGACGAUGACGCGAAGGAGCUGUGGGUCGAGCAUGACUGGCGAGAAAACGACGAUGACGUCACGUCGCGCCAAGAGCUCAACGACGACGAGAGCACCGGUGAUGCUGUGAUGAAGUCGAGGGAUACGACGCUGAAACAACAGGUCGACGACGAGGUGGAGCUCAGACGGCUGUAGAACAGUGUUGAAGUACGCAGGACCGGACCUAGGCAAGGACGAGCAGAGACCGGAGGUUGGGACAUAACAGAAUCGACGACAGGUGCAGAGGGCCGAGCUGCUUUUACGUGAGGGAGCAGGACACUCACAGGCUGAGAGCGAGCAGUUGGGGAAGAACUACAGAGAAGCUUGCUAGAGCACAGCUUGGAAACGAGCAAGGACAGGCUGGCCGCUGGGGCUAGGAAACAUGGAGAGCGAACGCUGGGGCAGGUGAUGGCUGGGGGUUUUCCUGGGAGUUGAACGUGGUGAAGCCGAGCAACAGUUGGAGUUGCAGGUGACGUGAGGAAUUCUCCAUCCAGGAACAUCUAUCUCUAUUCGUAUGAGAGAAAAGAAAAAGAAUAUGGUAGCUCGUAGCUGUUGGGAUAAGAAAAAG
rnacentral:lncRNA from 1 species